GGAUGGAGCCUACAUACAGUGCUCAGCCCCUACUGCCGUUGAGCAGCGAGCAGCCCCCCCCCCCCCCCCCCGAGUCCUGUAACAACCCGGGGCACCUGGGGCUGCUGCUCCAUUGAAAGCCAGGUGGAUCUCUGUUAUUUCCUUUUCAUUGGACUGAGGCUGUGGCUGAUCCCAAUCACCUCUGUGAGCUCUGCUCCUCCGGAGGAUGCUGAGGAAACGGCCUUUGCGCUGUUUGGAGCACUCUGGUGAAGGAGCAGCGCCCACUGCUCGAAAGAAGAAGAAUGGGGAAGAUGUCAGUUGAACAAAGCACUGAAAACAGGCAAUGAAAGCAACGCAUACACAAUGUGCUCGUACAGCUGCUACAAGGCAGCACGUGCUUUUAUUGCCGGCCGCCUUAUCUGCAGCAUUAGCAGUCAGGGCAGAUGGAUGCCUGCUGCUAAUGGGCUCUAACACUCCAUCCCUUCAAGACUAAUGGACAGCUUUCAGAAAGCACUUCGCUGCCACCUCCCCUGGCACAGAAUGGGACCGUGGGGUUACAUCCAAGGUGCAGCCCAUCACCUCUGCACAGCAGAGAAGCACUGGGCUCUCCCUGGAGUUGCAGUGUGUAACUCUCACCCCUCCUGCAGUUGCCAUUGCCUUCACCUGCCUGGAAGCUUCAGAAGAACCUCCUUUUUGUUUGUGGGACUCAACCAGCUCUGCAGCUGGAUUCAUUUGCAAGCAGCACUUUAGGAGAUGCAGUCAGCAAUGAGUACAAAAAUAGCACUUAUUUACUCCGUGUGCUUUGCUGACAAACAACUUCUGAAGUCCCCUGGAG
rnacentral:lncRNA from 1 species